UGGGAUGCUGUGCUUUCCACUUUUACUGUUUUCUCUAAACCAGUAACAGGUCAAGAGUUGCCAUGCUGUCUGUGUUAAAACGCCAUCAAAUUAUAUUGCAGAAUACUAAAGAUUCAAGUGUUUGUAUUGUAUGUCAUUGUAAUCUCCAGGUUUUUGUUUCCAGAACAAUGCAAUAAACCUGUAGGGCAGAAUCAUGCGGCUAAUCAGCAUCACAACCAGCCCCCCAGUGAGGUUUCCUAGGAAAUCAGUCACUCUAUCUAUAGUGAUAGUACUAAUGGAAUAUGUCAACUCAAUCAUGUAAAUGAUAG